rnacentral:tRNA from 1 species
GGUAAGGUGGCUGAGGUAGAAGCAAUAGAUUGUAAAUCUAUGGACGAAAGUUAUUUCCCUUACCA